AUUGAACGCUGGCGGCAGGCCUAACACAUGCAAGUCGAGCGGAUGAAGGGAGCUUGCUCCUGGAUUCAGCGGCGGACGGGUGAGUAAUGCCUAGGAAUCUGCCUGGUAGUGGGGGAUAACGUCCGGAAACGGGCGCUAAUACCGCAUACGUCCUGAGGGAGAAAGUGGGGGAUCUUCGGACCUCACGCUAUCAGAUGAGCCUAGGUCGGAUUAGCUAGUUGGUGGGGUAAAGGCCUACCAAGGCGACGAUCCGUAGCUGGUCUGAGAGGAUGAUCAGUCACACUGGAACUGAGACACGGUCCAGACUCCUACGGGAGGCAGCAGUGGGGAAUAUUGGACAAUGGGCGAAAGCCUGAUCCAGCCAUGCCGCGUGUGUGAAGAAGGUCUUCGGAUUGUAAAGCACUUUAAGUUGGGAGGAAGGGCAGUAAGUUAAUACCUUGCUGUUUUGACGUUACCAACAGAAUAAGCUCCGGCUAACUUCGUG
rnacentral:rRNA from 1 species